AAACAUUCAAGCUCUGAAGAAGCUCGCCAUGAAGCAUCCUAGCACAUCCGCACCAAGAGAAAGGGGCGACGCGUUGCGUCAGAUUCAACUUGCAUCGGCAGGCAUAUUACCAGUUUGGAGUCUGUAGUAUUUCCUGUUAAGGUCACGUCAAUUCUUGGCACUAAUAAUCCUUUUUUUGCUUGGCUUGUGCUGCUAUAUUCCAAGAACCUCUAUCCUACCAACGUCAUUUGAGCUGAAGGAUUCGAGAAGCGUCGUGUGUCAAGGCUAUUGUUGCUCUAAGACUACGAACAAUGGAGUCCCAUCCUACAGAUUGUCCUGGAGACAUCUGACGGCAGUUUUGAUGAAGCUACAACAGUCUCCUACAGACCCACAAAUUCUUGGGGAGGGGAAAACGGAAGUUUGGGUUCCUCAUCAAGAUCACUCAAGUGGACAGCGAAGAUAGACACUCAGCCUCACGUAAUGAAAGGAGUUACGCAACACCACGGGCAUCUAACAUCCCAUGCUUCGGGUUACAAUCUCAAGCCCAGCCAGCGGUAGUGGGAAUUCCAAAAGGAAGGUGGGGCUCCUGUAAUGAAAUCUAGCAAUAUAGUUCGACAGAUACAGACAGUGGAAAACUUAAGAAUAGGCAGGGUGGAAUCAACAACAGGUGCAAGAGAAAAUUCGGGCAUAAAAGAUGCAACUUCCUUUUGAGGUGAAGCUCGAGGUUGCGCAUGUGCGGGGUUAAUGGUGACAUCAAUCCACUAUAAUCAAAAUUUUCUAACUAAAAUAAAUUAAUUAGCAUCUGAUUCUAUUUUGUAGGUAAUGAAGUUAGGAUAGAACACUGGCCGUCCUAGCUCAGUUGGUAGAGCUAGAUUGUAGAGCAAAUGGUAGAGCAGAGCGAAAGCGAGUUGGUAGAGCGGAGCGAGGCAGCGCAACGGUGCAGAGGUGCGUGGGCACAUUGGAGCGUAAUGAUGAUGGCAUAGCAGAAUAGGGGAUACAGAUCUGGUGUUACAAUGUCUUUAAGCAUUUAGUUUUCUUUAGAGGAAAAUGUGCAGCAGAGGGAGCUUUUGAACGAUUAGAGGGAGCUUCUGAUUACGUUUUUUGAACGAUUGCAACUCUCUUAUGAUUAGUAGACCAGUUUAGAGCAUUUAGACACAUCGUGUCUGAACAGUAGGAACCAACACCACAACGGAGAUGAAUCCACCAUCAGAACUAGAUAUGAUAAAAUAGAGCAUAGACCAUUCUAAGAGGCCCACAACAAAAGUGAUACAACUAGGCCUCUACUACACACGUAGUAGGAAAAUAGAGAUUCUAUUAUUGAAGCUACCUCAAUCCGAUAGGAAGAAACUAUACAUACAUACCAAGAGCGAUUCUACCACACAGUCAACACACAAAAACAUUGAACAAAUCCAUAGAAAAUGAUAUUAGGAUUGUUGAGACGUAGGAGGAGACGAGAGGAGUCAACCAACAUCUAUUUCUAUAAGAGCGGCCAGUAACAAAGGAGAGAGUACUGGAUUAACUCCAAAUUCUAAGAAUGAGUCUAAUAGAUAGUGCACUGAUACCACCAACAGUACCAAGAACUAGUCUUGAUUGAAAGACAUAUAAAGAGAUUCAGAGGUUGAUUGACAAAGAAACAAAUACCCAACAAAAGCUGGUAGAAUUGGUGCAAGAGAUCUGGAAAUGCAAUUGAAAUACAAAAGCUAAAUCCAAGAAAAAAAAUAAACAAAUUGUAAUGAGCCUAAGAAAAAACAUUAAAAAAGAACACUUGGGUACUAUGUCGCUUUUAACAUAAGCACACACAAUAACAUAGAAUCAACAAGAAUUCAUCAACUAAAAAACCAAGACAUCAAUUUCAUUACUUGGUGUACUCAGCCACAAUCCAUUCUUAAAGCUCCAUGAAAAUAUCCCAUAUAGCUAUAGGUGAGUGGCCU
rnacentral:lncRNA from 1 species